AAACGGUGCGUUUAUCAUUUUCCACUUUGGUUUCUCUCCCCCUGCUCGAUCUCUCUCCCAGCCACUAUCUCUGGGCGACGACAUCCUAACCCUAACCUUUCUUCUUUUCUUCCCCGUGCUCAAUCUAUAUUCUUUUGUUCUCUAAUAGAUACGACUCCAUCUUUCGUUCCCCUUUUACAUUUUCUUUCUUGGUUUCUUUCCCCUUGCUCGAUCUCUCUACCAACCCUAACCCUAACAAGAGAGAGCUGUGCGAUGCCAAGGAAGAAAUGAUUCACAAUCUAGAUUGUUGCUAUGCGACGCCAUUCUAAAUUCAAAUGGACAGAUAUAGUGUAGACAAAGAGAGAUUGAAUUGUUAAGGAAUGAAGAAGAGCUUCAAAUGAGAGGAAGGAAUUGGGAAAAGGGAGUUAAGACUCAUAACGAUUAAGUGGAGCUGCGAAGAAGGCAAGAAGUAGACAUGCUGCAUUCAAGCACACUAGUUUUGUAAUGGGGGCCAAUUAUUGGGGACUUCAUUGUUAGGGACUUUAUGUAUAUUGAUAUAGACUUGGUGUUAAAUUUGGAAUGUCGAAUGUCUGGCAGGGAUGCUUGAGUUUCUAA